rnacentral:tmRNA from 1 species
GGGGGUGACAUGGUUUCGACAGGGAACCAGAGUGUGAGAGAUGCAUGCCGGAGACGCUGUCCCCUCCGUCAUCAAGCAGCAAACAAAUCUAAUUGCAAACAACAAUUACUCCUUAGCAGCGUAAGCAGCUAACGUUCAACCCUUCCGCGCCGACGGGGAGGGAUUGGGCGUCGAAACAGUGCGGCCGCUCCGGGUUCGAGAGCUCAUAAAGCCCGGCUAAGACCAUGAGCCCUGGCCCCGGCGGGUCUGAUUGUCUUUCACCGCCCUGGCCGCGAUCAAAGACAACUAAGCAUGUAGAUUCACUCAUGAUCGGUUCUUUGGACGCGGGUUCGAUACCCGCCACCUCCACCA